rnacentral:rRNA from 1 species
GACGAACGCUGGCGGCGUGCUUAACACAUGCAAGUCGAGCGGUAAGGCCCUUUCGGGGGGUACACGAGCGGCGAACGGGUGAGUAACACGUGGGUGACCUGCCUUUAGCUCUGGGAUAAGCCUGGGAAACUGGGUCUAAUACCGGAUAUGACUCCAUGAUGCAUGUUGUGGGGUGGAAAGCCUUGUGCGGCUGGAGAUGGGCCCGCGGCCUAUCAGCUUGUUGGUGGGGUGANGGCCUACCAAGGCGACGACGGGUAGCCGGCCUGAGAGGGCGACCGGCCACACUGGGACUGAGACACGGCCCAGACUCCUACGGGAGGCAGCAGUGGGGGAAUCUUGCGCAAUGGGCGAAAGCCUGACGCAGCGACGCCGCGUGAGGGAUGACGGCCU